UACGUAGGAGGCGAGCGUUGUCCGGAGUACUGGGCGUAAAGCGUACGCAGGCGUCCAAUCAGUCUAUAGGGACAGGGCACAGCUUAACUGUGUCAGGCUUAUGGAAACUGUUGGACUUGAGGGCUUCAGAGGGAUGGGGAAUUCCGGGUGGAGUGGUGAAAUGCGUAGAGAUCCGGAAGAACACCAAAGGCGUAGGCACCAUCCUGGGGAGUCACUGACGCUCAUGUACGAAAGCUAGGGGAGCG
rnacentral:rRNA from 1 species